rnacentral:rRNA from 1 species
CGCACAUUGCGGUCCAUGCAAAGGUUUUUUUUAAAAACUGCAUGGACCACGUAUGGUUGAGUGUCGUA